AUCCGUCGCAACCAAUCUACAUAGCUCACAGUGGGGAAGAGGGAGAGAUUGAAAAAUGCUCCAACAGGUUAACACACCUCCAUCGAUACGAUGCGUGCCAGAAAAGUACCGUUUAAACGCGAAAGUGUACGAUGCUUUGCAGAGAGAAGACGAGAAAGAAGUGAUAAAGCUGUGUGAAGAUUUUGAGGAGCACGGAUAGCAUAUUGACUAUACACGAUGACACAGUGCUUCAGGCUGCCACUUACGCCAAGAAACCUGACUUGGUACUGAGACUUCUACAGGACUUGCCUGAACGCCAUCUUGAUAAACUGACUCGCCAAAACCUUGCCGGAAACACUAUCCUCCACGAGACCGCCAUAUCCAAUGAAGCAAUAGAGGUGGAUUGUUACGCAUGCGUAACAACCUUGGAGAGACGGCUCUUUUCCGGACCGCUCGUUAUGGCAAGCAAGACAUGUACGACUUUCUAGCCAAAAAAAUAUCUGGUUACGAUGGAGCCAAUCAGAAAGUCUUCCUGCAGAGAAGAGAUAAAACCACUAUUCUACACAUGGCCAUCCUUUCAGAGCACUUCGGUUAGUUCUCCCUCUCCUUAAAAAUUAAAAUAAUACUGAUGAUGCCAAAAUCGUCAGUUUGGGUCACUCGCGCAAUCCGAAGCAUUAGACGAUCUCAUAGGACCUGCAAGAUAAAGGGAAGAUAGAUCGAAUAAACCACCGGGUUGUGCCCAGUGGGGGAGCCUCUGAUGCUUAAAUUAGGAUGAACCCAUAUUUUUCAUAUUUAGAUAGUGUUUAGUAGUAGCUUUUGACGUACCUUCACAAGUGAGAUAGAUUGACCCUUUUAUAGGUGAUUUGGAUAGCUGUCGUACAUAAUUGGAGGUGAUUAUUGCCCAUGUGUAACAGUUAUUGUAUUGAUGAGCGUUUAAGACCGCUAAGUAAUGGUCGCCAUUAAUGUGUUGAAUGUGCUUGAGUGGUUACAUCUUUUGGUUUGUUAAUGAUGCAAGGUCGUCCAUAUUAAUGGACGACCUUAAUGUUUUUUU